rnacentral:rRNA from 1 species
AUUGAACGCUGGCGGAAUGCUUUACACAUGCAAGUCGAACGGCAGCACGGACUUCGGUCUGGUGGCGAGUGGCGAACGGGUGAGUAAUAUAUCGGAACGUGCCCAGUCGUGGGGGAUAACGUAGUGAAAAUUACGCUAAUACCGCAUACGAUCUAUGGAUGAAAGCGGGGGAUCGCAAGACCUCGCGCGAUUGGAGCGGCCGAUAUCAGAUUAGGUAGUUGGUGAGGUAAAGGCUCACCAAGCCGACGAUCUGUAGCUGGUCUGAGAGGACGACCAGCCACACUGGAACUGAGACACGGUCCAGACCCCUACGGGAGGCAGCAGUGGGGAAUUUUGGACAAUGGACGCAAGUCUGAUCCAGCCAUUCCGCGUGCAGGACGAAGGCCUUCGGGUUGUAAACUGCUUUUGUACAGAACGAAAAGGUCUCUAUUAAUACUGGGGGCUCAUGACGGUACUGUAAGAAUAAGCACCGGCUAACUACGUGCCAGCCGCCGCCGUAAGAC